CUGGCGGCAGGCCUAACACAUGCAAGUCGAGCGCUCACUUCGGUGGGAGCGGCGGACGGGUUAGUAACGCGUGGGAGUAUGCCCGGUACUAAGGAAUAGCCUUUGGAAACGAAGAGUAAUACCUUAUACGCCCUUCGGGGGAAAGAUUUAUCGGUAUCGGAUUAGCCCGCGUAAGAUUAGAUAGUUGGUGGGGUAAUGGCCUACCAAGUCUACGAUCUUUAGCUGGUUUUAGAGGAUGAUCAGCAACACUGGGACUGAGACACGGCCCAGACUCCUACGGGAGGCAGCAGUGGGGAAUCUUAGACAAUGGGCGCAAGCCUGAUCUAGCCAUGCCGCGUGAGUGAAGAAGGCCUUASGGUCGUAAAACUCUUUCGCCAGAGAUGAUAAUGACAGUAUCUGGUAAAGAAACCCCGGCUAACUCCGUGCCAGCAGCCGCGGUAAUACGGAGGGGGUUAGCGUUGUUCGGAAUUACUGGGCGUAAAG
rnacentral:rRNA from 1 species